GGAUGCGAUCAUACAAGCACUAAAGCACCGGAUCCCAUCAGAACUCCGAAGUUAAGCGUGCUUGGGCGAGAGUAGUAAUAGGAUGGGUGACCUCCUGGGAAGUCCUCGUGUUGCAUUCC
rnacentral:rRNA from 1 species